AUACGGAGGGUGCAAGCGUUAAUCGGAAUUACCGGGCGUAAAGCGUGCGUAGGUGGUUUGUUAAGUCAGAUGUGAAAGCCCCGGGCUCAACCUGGGAACUGCAUUUGAAACUGGCAUACUAGAGUAUAGGAGAGGAAAGUGGAAUUUCAGGUGUAGCGGUGAAAUGCGUAGAUAUCUGAAGGAACAUCAAUGGCGAAGGCAGCUUUCUGGACUAAUACUGACACUGAGGUACGAAAGCGUGGGUAGCAAACAGGAUUAGAUACCCUAGUAGUCC
rnacentral:rRNA from 1 species